CACAGGAUAUUUUUGGAAAAUUCUUAAAUUGCACAAGCCUAUGAUUGGUUGAUUAGAAUCAUGUUUUUUUUAAAAAAUUUUAUCAGUUGGAUAAUGUACAAAUAGGUAUGCAUUAGUAGUUUUUAUACAUAACGUAAAUAGACAUAGAUUAGCAAGACUUUUUAUUAUAUGGAUAUGGGUAUUGUGAACUAAAACAUUCGUAUUAAUCAUACGCCACUACAUCCAGGAGUUGAGUGGCAUAUUUUCCGUAUGUACAUAACAUUUCCCGCCUUUGUCAUUGUUGUUUUGAAAAUACAAAUGGUCUUUGGUUCGUAAUCUUCGUAUUUAAAACGAAAUUAACGUUGGAAAUAAAACGAAAACAUUUAAAAGACAUCUUGAGAUAAGUAAAAUUUAUUCUAGUUUUAUGUUUGCACUAUAAUUUUAAAAAAAUAACGCUUCUUUCGCGUGCUUAUUUACAUGUCGUCUUUGUGUGUAUUUUUGUCACACUGAGUAAGUCCAUAUAAUAAACAGAACUUAAAUGGUUGCGGGAAGAUAUGGAUUUAUGUUCAGGCACGGAUUUUCUGGGGGGGGCACCCCCCCCAGAAAUGAUUUGCACCCCCCCCCCAAAGGCAUUUGGCAUCCCCGCAAAUUACAUAUAUUUUGAUUUGAUAGUUUCAUAUUUGAUUAUUCUUGCUACUAAAUUUGUAAAAUUACCAAUAUUAUGGUCUCAGAUCUCGCCAUGCAGGCCUAGAACACAAAUUUUGUUAAUCAGAACCCCCCCCCCCCCAGAUAUUUAUCCACCCCCCUCGAACGAAAAUACGAAAAUCCGUCUCUGUUUAUGUUCUUGUGUCAAAAACAAUAUCUCACUCAUUCACCUGUGCUCACUUGUGAGAUAUUGUUUUUGCCACUUCAAUAUAAAAUCCAUAUCUCUUCGCAACCGUCUAAUAUCCUAUAUAUAUUUAAUUAAUGAAUGAUAUGUAAAUAAAUAGAAUAUAUAACAUUUUUAUAUCCAAAUAUUGUAAACACAUUGUAAAUAAAUUAGCACUAAUAAACC